CAGUAUAACACUGCAAUUACUUUUGGACAUGAACUGAAACGGUCUAAAUUGGCCUUGCAAAAAAGUGGAGUAGACUAACAGACUCAUGACCAAAUUUCAUUUGCUGGAACAAAUAAGAGUUUGACAUUUAUCAUUUUUACAUGCUUCUAAAGUUUUAACUCACUUUUUAAACAUUCAUGCAAAGAGGAAGCCAGCACAAGAAGCGAACUUAAAAUAAUAUAGCAAAGGAACAAACCAUUGAUAGGGGGAGGCCAGUCAGGCAUAUGACUAAUUUUUCCAGGCACUGUGAAAUUCGUAGCAUGUAUGCUAUCCCAAGAAGGUCCCACUGAAUAAUGUCUACAUGUAGAGUCAGACUCUGACAUAUUGACAAUGGCGCUGGCACUCCUUCCAUCUCCAAAAGGGAAAGUUUCUAAGCACAUUGAGCAAGCAACAUAGAAAAUUUUGAUUAUAAUAUUUCCUGUUCAACAUAAAUAAAGAAUGACAAAAAUUAUUGUCCAUCCAGAUUUUGACCCUGUCUUUUGGCUAGGAAAAGACCAAUAAGGAUACUACAAGUAGAAAUGAACCGGUGAAUCUCUUUAAGAAUCAAGAAUAUUAAUGUAUACUUCUCGUGUAAAAUUUGUGAUCUUUGAAGGAUCUAAAAAUUCUAAUAGUUGGUCCCACGAGACAUUGAACCUCGUUAUUGACUAAAGUUUGCAAGUGAAUCCAUCCAUUGUCAAUGUAAAAUAUUUUGAGAAUACUCUGUAAUAUAUAUUAUUGAACAACAGCCAUAUGUGACGAGAGUGCGAUCUUGUUCUGCCAACCUAAGAUGACUGGGUUCAUUACUCUGUCAUAUAUUCAAAUAAAUGAAUUUUCUCCAUAAACUGAAAGAAUGAAAUGAAAAGGUAACCAUUUUGAAUAAUCUCUUUAUGCAUUUUUCUUGUGAAAAUCAAGAGUUUGCUGUGCUACAUUGAUUAGCAUCCAUAAUAAUUAGCAAUAUCUAGUGGCAUCCAUUGUUCCCAAUUGAGUGAUCCCAAAUAUAUUAUUGGAAAUUAAACAGAGGGAAGAAGCUCCAAGGUUCACUAUGCGUUGUCAUCUUUAUAAGUUGAAACACGAAAUUAUUAAUCAUCCUAUCUGCCAGCAAUUAAUUAUGCAUGUUUUCACAAUAAUUCCCCAUGAUGAAAGACGAGAACCACAGAGAGCUGAGGUUACUCGACCAGCACAACAAAAACCACUAAAUAAGUGCUAAUCACAUACACGAUUCAACACGAGUACGUCUUAUAAAAUGGUAAAAAAUAUGGAGCUUGUACCUGAAAACACCAAGCCCCAAUGGUGAUUGUAGUAACUCCGCGCAGCUUCUGAAGGGUUUCCUUCAACAUGUGGCUGCACAUCAUCUCGUCACAAGGCAAAUCGGUAAGAACUCGAAUCGAAAAAUCUAACUUGGCUUCCACCAAAGAAGAUACAUCGCUAAGUCUUAACAUGGCAUGAGGUUGCCAAUCCCCUGAUAUUCGCAGCGACAGCAAAUGCGGGCCCCAAAUUGUCUGAAUGUUAGAGUCGCAUAAGCCAAUGAGUACCAACUCUUUCACACUUGUGGAAUUUAUCAUCAUGUUCUUUGUGCCCCAACAACCCCACAAUUCAAGGGACUCUAGAACAGGGCAUCCCCUGAAAAUUCCCUCGAGGAUAUCAUCGCUCAACCUUGAAAUUGCGAUCACCAAGAUCUUAAGACAAGGCCACCUAAUAGUCCUAUCCAACGAGAAACUGCACACCGAGACUUCAAGGCGCACCAACCAACUCCAGCAAUACAAGAACCGCGGCAGUAUAUAAGGCGUCGGCGGCCCAGUAGUCGGCACUAGCAGCAGGCUGAGCUCCUCCACUCGGUGCCCCUCUGCAAAGCGGAGCCAGAGGUCGAACUUGGGGCGGUGGGUCUUCUCGUACUCGAAGCCGAUGACGGAGAACUUCUUCACUGUGGGGGAGGUGUACUGUAUCAGGACGCUGUCGACGAGGGACGGGAAGUCCAAGGUACUGCGAAGCCGGGCUACAAUCUCUCCAUCGAAGACCAGGUCGGUGGCGGUGGUCCAAGUGGGCCGCCAGCGCUUGGAGAGGACGCUAGCCUUGACGACGUCUUGGAGGGGCAGAAACGAGAAGAUGCGGUGGAUCACAGCGUCCGGCAAGGCGCUGAUGAGAUCCCUAGGGCUCAAAGGAGGAGGUAGAGGUGGGUUUGUUUUGUCGGUGCGAUUCGGCCGGUUGCCAGAGGAUUUGCGGUGGAUGGAGGUCUCCGCCAUGCCUAUUUUCCCCGAGUUUCGAAGGCUCGAUCGCAGCGUUUUUUUCCUACUAUUAUAGCCUUCGUAAGUCCCGCUUUGCUUCUCCACGAAGUGCUGUCCUCUUUUCUUGUUUUGGUCGGUAGUGUCCCGUUCCUUUUCCUCUCUCUCUUUUUCUCUCUUUGCUCCCUGGUCCCAUUUUCCUUUCCUCUUCUUUACUUUUGACUCUGUCGAGAUUGUCUUCCUUUGCAUCGAAGCUCCGACCAUCGCCAUCGCUGUCGCCUUUCGAAGGGCCUAUGCUACACAUGCAUUGCUAGGAAAGUGUCUCCUCUCCAGUCAUCACCGCCGCUAUCUUCUCUCCUAGGGAUGUGCAUGGUUCGGGCGGGUGGUUUCAACCACCCGCCGCUAAGGAUCGGUUCCGAAAAAUUAGAAUCGAGAUCUACCCGUUUGUUACAUGGAUCCACCCGGGAACUGGACCGUCGGUCCGGUCCGGUUCCUAGGUAGAUCCAUGGAACCGAUCUUGACACAAAAUAAUUUUAGUUUUCAACGUAGAACGACUACAUGAUAUCAAAGCAAGCCAAAGAAAGAAAAACCAAAUUUAAGUAUGUGGAGAUACGGAUGGUGAGAGAAGUAAACGCAGCAAAAUGGUGAUAGGAUUAGGAGCCGAAGACGAAGGGAGUGAGAUGAGAUCUAGGGUUUCUUUUAGUAAUUUUUUUUUUAAUAUUAAAAAAGUUCCGAUCCAGUCCAGGUGGGCGGGCAGGCGGGCGGAUCCGUCCAUGAAACCAGGAACCAAUCGGUACCCACGGGUUCCCAUAAAUUGGAACCGAGAAUUGGACCGGUUCCCUCAAGAACCGUCGAUUCUGGGCUGUUCCGGUCCGGUUCCGGGUGGUUCGGGCGGUUCCCGAGUAUUUUGCACACUCCUACUUACACCUACAGUCUUGUCUUGAUGUGCCCUUUUCCAUUGCUCGUCUUUGCUUCACUUCUGUUUCCUUCCUCUCCUUGGGUGUUGCUCAAAUUGCCGGAGAGUUUUCAGGUAGAGCAAAGCCUAUGAGCCCCAGCAUUGCCGUCGGGCCUUCACGCAGGUACGGCACGGGAGAGUGCCCCGGCGAUCGGCAUAUUGGCAGGCCAGAGCUAAAGCGAUAAAUGGAAAUAGGGAGCAGGGAAGGACAUGCCUACGAGAGAGAAUGAUAAAGAAGAAAGAAAAUGGGUCCAAAGUUAAAAGAGUGAGAAGAGGAUAUACGAAAUGCCAUAGACCUGACGAAAAAAAGGAACUUAAAAAACAAAAAAAGGCGCGACUCAGAUUAAUAUGUCAACAGUGGAAAAAGUGCCGCCCUUUACUUUUUACUUUUUUUAUUUACACGAUAAUUUGAUCUCUUUUAACGAGCAUAGUUUUUCUUUUGGGAAAAAGUCACGAAAAACUUUGAACUUUGCCCAAAGUGACAUAUUUAUCGCAAACUUUUUUUUUUGUGAUAGUGAAAAACUCCAAAUUUUUUCAAAUUGUGACACAUUUACCCAAUCAAUGGCAUUUUUGUCUUUUUAUUCUAUUUUUUCCUUUUUAUUCUAUUUUUUUUCUUUUUUUCUUCUUCUUCCCUCCGCCUGUCAUGGCGAAGCUGACGGAGGUAAGCCGGCGAUCGGCAAGGGCACCCCUCCCCAGAUUUGGCGAGGGUUGUCCUCGCUAGACGCAGGCGAGGGCCUCUGUCGCCGACGUCGGGCGAGGGCAAGGACACCCUCGCCCGAUGCAAGUGAGGGCGACCCUCGCCAGCGACGGGCGAGGAUGACCCUCGCUAGAUCUGGUGAGGGCAAGGACACCCUCGCUCGACGCAGGCGAGGUCGGCCCUCGCCGACGACGGGCGAGGACGGCAGGGACACCCUCGCUCGACAUAGGCAAGGGCAGCCCUCGCCCGACACUAGCGAGGGACCCUCGCCCGAUGCUGGCGAGGGCAGCUCUCGCCGGACACCGGCUGUCCUUCGUCGGUUGGGGAAGAGAGAAGAAAAAAAAAAGGAAAAAAUUUUUAAAAAUGAAAAGACCAAAAUGCCCUAUAAUUUUGGGGUAAAUGUGUCACAUAACAAAAGUUUAGGGUUUUUCACGUCACAAAAAAAAAAAUUGUCACUUUGGACAAAGUUCAGGAUUUUUCGUGGCUUUUUCCCCUUUACUUUUCCAAUUUCAAUAGAAAUUUUGUUUCGUGACCAAGUGAGUGAUCAACGGUCAAUCAGUUUCCUUUGUACGGUCAAGUCAAUUUGGCUUCGUGUAUUAAGCAAAAUUCUUUCAUGAUGCUAUGUGGCGUUCAAUUUAAAGGAGAAAAUAGAGAAAAAUAGAGCGAUAAGCUCAUUUGAAGCUUAAUUGGUCCAGCAAAAUAAAUAUUAUCGAAAGUAAAAAAUGGAAGCCCAGAAGCCACGCCUCUACUAAGAAAAAGAACAACCAAACACCCAUCAAGGUAAAACGAAAGAUUACGCACCAUUUGAUGCCUUUAAGAAAGUUGCUCGGCUUUGAUCAAUUCUGAACUCUUUGUCAAAAUGAUAGGCUCUUUAAGGAGGGACAUCGAGCUGAAUUGCAGGCCAUGAAUAACACGGAAUCUCAGAAGAAAUACGGAAAAAAAAAAUUAAUUUGAUAACAGGAUAAUCUAAGUAUAACAUCCAGAAGUUGAAUUUUUCUGAAUCAGUUUUAAUUUUAUGAUGGUUAGAUCCUAAUAUCAUAUAAUAUCGCAUCGAUUUGAAUUUAUAUGGUGUUAAAAAAUUAUAAAUCAUAGACAACUUGACGAUUGUGGAGGAAGAAUUCUUAGUCACCCGUCAUGGACUAUUAACAGUUUUUGAAAUGAAUUAUACUUAUAAAUUUCGAUGAAAAUUUCUUUAAUUAAUUAUCAUAAUUAACAUCCGCAAGCUUGAAUUUUUCUUAAUCAGUUUUAACUUAAAUCCUAAUAUCAUAUCAUAUUGCAUUGAUUUCUAUUCUUGUUAUGUUGAAGAUUAUAAGUCAUAGAAAACUUGAUGAUUGUGGAACAAGAAUUCUUAGAUACUGGUCGAGUACUAUUAACAGUUUUUGAAAUGAAUUAAAUUACUUUAAUUAAUUAUGAUAACUAAAAUCUUGGUUAUUUUAGUUUGAAAAUUGAGUUAUCUUAUAAUUCAAAUUUCAUUUUAGUUUAAAUUGGACAAAUUAAUUCUAGUUGGUUGAUAAUAUACUAAGCAUCGCACUUCCUUUAAUAUAAAUCACAUGUUUGUGAAGCACAUUGCGAUAAAAUCUGAACUAAGAAAUUGAAAAAUAUAUGUUUCGAUAUUACAUAAUUUACAUAUUUUUAUAUGUUUCAAGUGUUUCAUACUUAAUAAUAAACCAAAUUAUCUUGCCCUUUGUCGUCCUCUCUAAACUUAUUAGCUUAUGCCCAAAGCUUGUUUCAUUUGAUGAAAGACCUUUCCAAUAAGAAACAACUCGACCAAAAAAAAAAGAAACAACAAAAGAAUGUUCUAUAUUGUGUGCAAAUGCAUAAUACCUUUAGGAUCCUUCUGUUUGAGGCAGAGAGUAACCAUAAUCGAGGUUUAAUUCGACUUUGAUGGAUGUCGAACUUGAACAGAUCUUCAUAACCCUAAUUCGACCCAAAUUGUAAUCAAACUAAAGCAAAUCAUUUUUCGACGUCAACCGAAACAAAUGAUGUUAUAUAUAUAUUUGUUACAGAUUUCAUGAACUUACGAGUUCCCACAAACAUUACUUGAUUUCGCGGUUUGUUUUGGUUGUCGAAAAGUUGAACCUAAUUGGACCGUGAAAUACAGUUUAGGUCCAUUUGGAAAUGUUUUUUUGUCGGGAAAGAAAUGCCAUUGAACCAAAUUAAACCAUAAAAAAAGUUGAUGUUAAAAUUCGAGUUCAUCUUCAUUUGUGCAGCAAAAGAGUACUUCAUGUUAGCUCCUCUGAAAUCAAAUGUAACCGAAGGAGUUCCUUGCUUAAUCAUGAAUUUUCAGACAGUUUGCUUCCCUUGGAAACAGAGGGUUGUGCUGAAACUAAAAUCAAAUUGUAAUGAUGUCCAUGCAGUUUCGCACAAAUACAUGAAGACUUCGCUUAGUCUUCCAAGAGUGCAGAUAAAGAAAAUUAUCUUGACCAAACACCCUUCAUGUGCUGAUAAUCAAAAACACUACCAUUAACCUCAUUCCUUAAGGAGGUUCAUACUUACAACUACACUAAACUUAACAGAAGUGUCGAUUAGGUACAUGUUAAAACCUGACAAUGUAGAUAAGAACGAGUAGUGUAGUGCCAAGGCAAAAUACGCCUGCCAUUAGAUUAACAAGAAACCCAGAUUUUCAUAUGCUUUAAGAAGGACAUCUAUUUGAAAGAGUGGCUGAAGAUAACUUCAGCAUUUCUGGAAGCUCUUCGAUAGCUGAGCAUAUUUUGGCUCACAACAAGUAGUUUCGAAAGAAUAGUGGCUCGAACAUGUUCUUGUCCAUGUCCCAUGUUCAAAUUAGCCUUGAUAAUCAUCUUCUCCAGCGCAAGUGCAUCACCAAGAAGAAACUUGAUCAGGGCAAGCAGACGUUCCAACCCAAAAUUAUCAAUGGUGAUCUCAACUCUCUUGAGAUGUUUCGCCAAACAUUGAAAGUUCUCCUUCCGUGAACACAAAAAAUCUUCUUCAUCACAGUUAAAACUUUCUUUCGAUUCUUCGUCAAGACUAUACUGCACAUAGAUACCUCAUUUAAGAAACUUACUUCACAUCACAUGCGGAUCCAUAGAAAAUAGAAUUUGUUGCCUUACCAAAAUUUCAAAAAACAAAAACAUUUCAUUUGUCCACGGUAGGUGCUAGUUAGUUUUACUUUAUUUUAAGUACUAAAGAAUUUGAACUUUUAAACUCAUAUACACAAUAAAACUAUCUUUCUUUCUAGGUGCUUAUCGCUAAUUUGUUAGUUCAAGGUCCAAACCCUACAUGGCAGCAAAAGAAUCUCCAGUAUAACACUGCAAUUACUUUUGGACAUGAACUGAAACGGUCUAAAUUGGCCUUGCAAAAAAGUGGAGUAGACUAACAGACUCAUGACCAAAUUUCAUUUGCUGGAACAAAUAAGAGUUUGACAUUUAUCAUUUUUACAUGCUUCUAAAGUUUUAACUCACUUUUUAAACAUUCAUGCAAAGAGGAAGCCAGCACAAGAAGCGAACUUAAAAUAAUAUAGCAAAGGAACAAACCAUUGAUAGGGGGAGGCCAGUCAGGCAUAUGACUAAUUUUUCCAGGCACUGUGAAAUUCGUAGCAUGUAUGCUAUCCCAAAAAGGUCCCACUGAAUAAUGUCUACAUGUAGAGUCAGACUCUGACAUAUUGACAAUGGCGCUGGCACUCCUUCCAUCUCCAAAAGGGAAAGUUUCUAAGCACAUUGAGCAAGCAACAUAGAAAAUUUUGAUUAUAAUAUUUC
rnacentral:lncRNA from 1 species